GCUAGAGUGGCAGAGCCUGGUAAAUGCAGGAAGCCUAAGCCUUCCACCCCGGAGGUUCAAGUCCUCCCUCUAACU